rnacentral:rRNA from 1 species
AGAGUGAACGCUGGCGGCAGGCCUAACACAUGCAAGUCGAACGGCAGCACAGAGGAGCUUGCUCCUUGGGUGGCGAGUGGCGGACGGGUGAGGAAUACAUCGGAAUCUGCCUUAUCGUGGGGGAUAACGUAGGGAAACUUACGCUAAUACCGCAUACGACCUACGGGUGAAAGCGGAGGACCUUCGGGCUUCGCGCGAUAAGAUGAGCCGAUGUCGGAUUAGCUAGUUGGCGGGUAAAGGCCCACCAAGGCUACGAUCCGUAGCUGGUCUGAGAGGAUGAUCAGCCACACUGGAACUGAGACACGGUCCAGACUCCUACGGGAGCAGCAGUGGGAAUAUUGGACAAUGGGCGCAAGCCUGAUCCAGCCAUGCCGCGUGUGUGAAGAAGGCCUUCGGGUUGUAAAGCUACGUUUUGUCCGGUAAAGAAAGCAACUGGAAUUAAUACCCUGUAGUUAUGACGGUACCGGAAGAAUAAGACACCGGCUAACUUCGUGACCAGCAGCCG